rnacentral:rRNA from 1 species
CCUACGGGAGGCAGCAGUGAGGAAUAUUGGUCAAUGGGCGUAAGCCUGAACCAGCCAAGUCGCGUGCGGGAUGAAGGUUCUAUGGAUCGUAAACCGCUUUUAUAAGGGAAUAAAGUGUGGGACGUGUCCUGUUUUGUAUGUACCUUAUGAAUAAGGAUCGGCUAACUCCGUGCCAGCAGCCGCGGUAAUACGGAGGAUCCGAGCGUUAUCCGGAUUUAUUGGGUUUAAAGGGUGCGUAGGCGGCCUUUUAAGUCAGCGGUGAAAGUCUGUGGCUCAACCAUAGCAUUGCCGUUGAAACUGGGGGGCUUGAGUAUGUGUGAGGCAGGCGGAAUGCGUGGUGUAGCGGUGAAAUGCUUAGAUAUCACGAAGAACCCCGAUUGCGAAGGCAGCCUGCCAAGCCAUGACUGACGCUGAUGCACGAAAGCGUGGGGAUCAAACAGGAUUAGAUACCCUAGUAGUC